rnacentral:rRNA from 1 species
AUUGAACGCUGGCGGCAGGCCUAACACAUGCAAGUAGAGCGAGCGGCGGACGGGUGAGUAAUGUCUGGGAAACUGCCUGAUGGAGGGGGAUAACGACUGGAAACGGUAGCUAAUACCGCAUACCAUCAGAUGUGCCCAGAUGGGAUUAGCUAGUAGGUGGGGUAACGGCUACCCUAGGCGACGAUCCCUAGCUGGUCUGAGAGGAUGACCAGCCACACUGGAACUGGGCCACGGUCCAGACUCCUACGGGGUGCAGCAGUGGGGAAUCUUGCACAAUGGGCUCAGUCCUUAUGCAGCCAUGCCGGGGGUGUGAAGAAGGCCUUCGGGUUUUAAAGCACUUUCAGCGGGGAGGCGUUACCCGCAGAAGAAGCACCGGCUAACUCCGUGCCAGCAGCCGCGGUAAUUC